GACAGAGGAUGCAAGCGUUAUCCGGAAUGAUUGGGCGUAAAGCGUCUGUAGGUGGCUUUUUAAGUCCGCCGUCAAAUCCCAGGGCUCAACCCUCGAAUGCCGGUGGAUACUGUCGGGCUAGAGUGCGGGAGAGGCGAGUGGAAUUCCUGGUGUAGCGGUGAAAUGCGCAGAUAUCAGGAGGAACACCAAUUGCGAAGGCAGCUCGCUGGAACGUAACUGACGACUGGAGAACGCGAAAGCGUGGGGAGCAAACAGG
rnacentral:rRNA from 1 species